ACGUAGUUAGCCGACACUUAUUCCCAGGCUACCGUCCUUCCUCGUCACCUGGAAAAGGGCUUUACGAUCCGAAAACCUUCAUCACCCACGCGGCGUUGCUGCCUCAGACUUGCGUCCAUUGGGCAAUAUUCCU
rnacentral:rRNA from 1 species